UACGUAGGGAGCGAGCGUUGUCCGGAUUUAUUGGGCGUAAAGAGCGCGUAGGCGGCUCGGUAAGCCGGAUGUGAAACCUCCAAGCUCAACUUGUAGCGGCCAUUCGGAACUGCUGUGGCUAGAGUCUGGUAGGGGAACACGGAAUUCCUGGUGUAGCGGUGAAAUGCUUAGAUAUCAGGAGGAACACCAGUGGCGAAGGCGGUGUUCUGGGCCAGUACUGACGCUGAGGCGCGAAAGCGUGGGGAGCGAACAGG
rnacentral:rRNA from 1 species